GACAGAGGGUGCAAACGUUGUUCGGAAUUACUGGGCGUAAAGGGCGCGUAGGCGGGAUGGCAAGUCAGUCGUGAAAUCUCUCGGCUCAACCGAGAAACGUCGGCUGAUACUGCCGUUCUUGAGGGAUGCAGAGGAGACUGGAAUUCCCGGUGUAGCGGUGAAAUGUGUAGAGAUCGGGAGGAACACCGGUGGCGAAGGCGGGUCUCUGGGCAUUUCCUGACGCUGAGGCGCGAAAGCGUGGGGAGCAAACGGG
rnacentral:rRNA from 1 species